GACGAACGCUGGCGGCGUGCUUAACACAUGCAAGUCGAACGGAAAGGCCCUGCUUUUGUGGGGUGCUCGAGUGGCGAACGGGGGCGUAACACGUGAGUAACCUGCCCUUGACUUUGGGAUAACUUCAGGAAACUGGGGCUAAUACCGGAUAGGAGCUCCUGCUGCAUGGUGGGGGUUGGAAAGUUUCGGCGGUUGGGGAUGGACUCGCGGCUUAUCAGCUUGUUGGUGGGGUAGUGGCUUACCAAGGCUUUGACGGGUAGCCGGCCUGAGAGGGUGACCGGCGACAUUGGGACUGAGAUACGGCCCAGACUCCUACGGGAGGCAGCAGUGGGGAAUAUUGCACAAUGGGCGGAAGCCUGAUGCAGCAACGCCGCGUGCGGGAUGACGGCCUUCGGGUUGUAAACCGCUUUCGCCUGUGACGAAGCGUGAGUGACGGUAAUGGGUAAAGAAGCACCGGCUAACUACGUG
rnacentral:rRNA from 1 species